ACUGGGACUGAGACACGGCCCAGACUCCUACGGGAGGCAGCAGUGGGGAAUUUUGGACAAUGGGCGCAAGCCUGAUCCAGCCAUGCCGCGUGUCUGAAGAAGGCCUUCGGGUUGUAAAGGACUUUUGUCAGGGAAGAAAAGGAUAGGGUUAAUACCCCUGUCUGAUGACGGUACCUGAAGAAUAAGCACCGGCUAACUACGUGCCAGCAGCCGCGGUAAUACGUAGGGUGCGAGCGUUAAUCGGAAUUACUGGGCGUAAAGCGGGCGCAGACGGUUACUUAAGCAGGAUGUGAAAUCCCCGGGCUCAACCUGGGAACUGCGUUCUGAACUGGGUGACUAGAGUGUGUCAGAGGGAGGUAGAAUUCCACGUGUAGCAGUGAAAUGCGUAGAGAUGUGGAGGAAUACCGAUGGCGAAGGCAGCCUCCUGGGAUAACACUGACGUUCAUGCCCGAAAGCGUGGGUAGCAAACAGGAUUAGAUACCCUGGUAGUCCACGCCCUAAACGAUGUCGAUUAGCUGUUGGGCAGCAUGACUGCUUAGUAGCGAAGCUAACGCGUGAAAUCGACCGCCUGGGGAGUACGGUCGCAAGAUUAAAACUCAAAGGAAUUGACGGGGACCCGCACAAGCGGUGGAUGAUGUGGAUUAAUUCGAUGCAACGCGAAGAACCUUACCUGGUCUUGACAUGUACAGAAGGUUUUAGAGAUAAGACUGUGCCUUCGGGAACUGUAACACAGGUGCUGCAUGGCUGUCGUCAGCUCGUGUCGUGAGAUGUUGGGUUAAGUCCCGCAACGAGCGCAACCCUUGUCAUUAGUUGCCAUCAUUAAGUUGGGCACUCUAAUGAGACUGCCGGUGACAAGCCGGAGGAAGGUGGGGAUGACGUCAAGUCCUCAUGGCCCUUAUGACCAGGGCUUCACACGUCAUACAAUGGUCGGUACAGAGGGUAGCCAAGCCGCGAGGUGGAGCCAAUCUCACAAAACCGAUCGUAGUCCGGAUUGCACUCUGCAACUCGAGUGCAUGAAGUCGGAAUCGCUAGUAAUCGCAGGUCAGCAUACUGCGGUGAAUACGUUCCCGGGUCUUGUACACACCGCCCGUCACACCAUGGGAGUGGGGGAUACCAGAAGUAGGUAGGGUAACCGCAAGGAGCCCGCUUACCACGGUAUGCUUCAUGACUGGGGUGAAGUCGUAACAAGGUAGCCGUAGGGGAACCUGCGGCUG
rnacentral:rRNA from 1 species